AUUGAACGCUGGCGGCAUGCCUUACACAUGCAAGUCGAACGGCAGCACGGGAGCAAUCCUGGUGGCGAGUGGCGAACGGGUGAGUAAUAUAUCGGAACGUGCCCAGUCGUGGGGAUAACGUAGCGAAAGCUACGCUAAUACCGCAUACGAUCUAUGGAUGAAAGCGGGGGAUCGCAAGACCUCGCGCGAUUGGAGCGGCCGAUAUCAGAUUAGGUAGUUGGUGAGGUAAAGGCUCACCAAGCCGACGAUCUGUAGCUGGUCUGAGAGGACGACCAGCCACACUGGGACUGAGACACGGCCCAGACCUCCUACGGGAGGCAGCAUGGGGGAAUUUUUGGACAAUGGGCGGCAAGCCUGAUCCAGCAAUGCCGCGUGC
rnacentral:rRNA from 1 species